rnacentral:rRNA from 1 species
UACAGAGGCCCCAAGCGUUACUGAGAAUCACUGGGUUUAAAGGGUGCGUAGGUGGCGCGUAAGUCCGUUGUGAAAGCCCUGGGCUCAACCCAGGAACUGCUUCGGAUACUCUCGUGCUUGAGCACUGUAGAGGCAGGUGGAAUUCCGGGUGUAGCGGUGGAAUGCGUAGAGAUCCGGAAGAACACCGGUGGCGAAGGCGGCCUGCUGGGCAGUAGCUGACGCUGAUGCGCGACAGCGUGGGGAGCAACAGG